AUUGAACGCUGGCGGCAGGCCUGACACAUGCAAGUCGAGCGGAUGAAGGGAGCUUGCUCCUGGAUUCAGCGGCGGACGGGUGAGUAAUGCCUAGGAAUCUGCCUGGUAGUGGGGGAUAACGUCCGGAAACGGGCGCUAAUACCGCAUACGUCCUGAGAGAGAAAGUGGGGGAUCUUCGGACCUCACGCUAUCAGAUGAGCCUAGGUCGGAUUAGCUAGUUGGUGGGGUAAAGGCCUACCAAGGCGACGAUCCGUAACUGGUCUGAGAGGAUGGUCAGUCACACUGGAACUGAGACACGGUCCAGACUCCUACGGGAGGUAGCAGUGGGGAAUAUUGGACAAUGGGCGAAAGCCUGAUCCAGCCAUGCCGCGUGCGUGAAGAAGGUCUUCGGAUUGUAAAGCACUUUAAGUUGGGAGGAAGGCAGUAAGUUAAUACCUUGCUGUUUGACGUUACCAACAGAAUAAGCGACCGCUAACUUUAUGCCAGCCGCCGCAGUAA
rnacentral:rRNA from 1 species